AAAAUGUUUUUACAAAGCACUAAUGCUCUAGAAGAUUGCAGCCCAUAGCCCAAUAAAACUCAUAUUUCAGAACCCAUUAAAUCCCAAAAGGCCCAAGAGAACCCAAGUUAAGCCCAUAGUUAUGCAGAAAGAAGUCGAUCAUCGUUUUGUAAAACUGAAGAGGCAACGCUUAGUGGGUCCGCCACUGUUGUAGACUUGUAGUAAGUAUUUGAUUUUAUAUAUAGCCAUUUUGGAUCUAAACCGGUGAUCGGGUUUCGCUACGGGUGUAGCUUUGGCAUUCUGAUUUUUUUCACUUUAAAAUAUUUAUAUCAACACCAAAGUUUACAAAACAAUAAAAGAAAAUCCGAAAAAACAUUUUCAAAAAAAAAUCCGGAAAAAACGAAAGCAAACCCAGAAUAUGAUACGGCAAACCUUUUGUUUUUGUCACUAAAAUAUUUCAUUAAACUUAAUAAAAACGAAAUGAGCCUAAGGUGGCCCAUCUUGAAGUCUAUUACAGAGCAAAAUGGGUUUGAAGAGCCUCUUUGCUAAGAGCACCUCCAACAGGAGAUGUUAGCCAAUCCUUAGUGCUAGUCCCUAAGCUAAAUAGAUUAAAAAAAUAUUAAAACAAUUACUGUAGUUAAGAAAGAAUCCUUAGCUAAGGAAACUAAGGAUUUGAUCCUUAACUGUUUAUCUCUUUCUCGCCUUCUUUUUUCCUUGUAAACUUGUAACUCCAAUCCGAUCUCGCCAAUUCCAAUUUAGGGUUUUUGAAAGUUUCGAUCUUUGUAGUUUGAAUUCGAGAAGAAAAUGGCAGAAUCAGGAGGAGGGUGGCGCGAUUCGUAUAGGGGAAUGUCGUCUGAUAACGUAAAGGGUUUGGUGUUGGCAAUCUCUUCUAGUCUGUUCAUCGGAGCUAGCUUCAUCGUCAAGAAGAAAGGUCUCAAGAAAGCCGCCUCCACCGGCCCUAGGGCUGAGUGCAGGUGAUGAUCUUGGCUUUGCUAUCAUCCCUACGUCUUUGGCUUUGGACUGGUCUGGUGGUGGUGGUGGUUCGGACUUGCAGAGUGCAGGUGAUGAUCUUGGCUUUGCUAUCAUCCCUUAGCGAUAUUUAUAAGUUUUACUGAUGUUCCUAAUGAAGUUCUGUGUUGUGACAGAGGAAAGUGAAUUCGCUACUUUAGAAGCAAGUAUUGGGUUUCACACUGAUUGUGGCUUCUCUUACAUCCAUUCACGUCUUCCUGGUCAUCUAGGAGAAUUCUUGGCUUUAAGUGGGGAAAGAUUGAAUGGCAAAGAACUUGUAGCAGUUGGCAUGGCAAUACAUUUUGUACCUUCUGCUGUGAGUUUUUUCUUUUUUUUAAUGCUUUUCCUUAGUUAGAAGUAUCAUGUAAUGUGACCUCUCUUACUUGAGCUGCCUUCCUACUUGUAUUAUUAUAUACAGCAUCUGCAACUUUAGUAAUGUUUUGAAACCUAUAUAUGAUGAGUGAGGAAUGCUUUAUUGGAUGUGAACUUUGCUUAAUUUCAGAAAGUGAAACUUAGUUAAGGAUUCCAAUGGUGAGUAACACCAUUGGACUUAAUAUUUUGAUUAAGGUCCUUACCUAUUCAAAAAAACAAAAAAACUAUUAUUGUAUUGUUAAGGAUUCCAAUGGUGAGUAACACCAUUGGAGUUGCUCUAAAUCAUCGGCAAUGACGUUUUUUGACGAGAGAUGUGCGAGAAAAAGCAUCUGCAAACCAGAAGAGACCGAUCCAAUAUAUUUCACAAUUCUGAUGAUCUUUUUUACCAAAGGUUAUCAGAUAAUUUUGAUGAGUGUUAAGCUGUCGGAGAAUAAUCUUGAAUGUCGAGAACUCCAAGAUUUGUGCCAUGCUAAGAGCAGAUCGGACCGCAAAGACCUCUCCAAUAAGGGGUGAACCGAUGAAGUUUUCAGUCAGGAUGUCCAAUCAGUUUUCAACCAUCUUACCAUGGAUUGGAGCUUCUAGCCCUGGCCCUGAGAAGAUCCAGCCCAAGCCUGCUGCUAAUUUGUCUUUGCUCCAAGCCGCAUCGGUCCUGUAGGAUAGAAAAUUGUUGCCUGCGUGACUUCUCGGUGCUUGUCUCUGUCGAUCUUGCUGGAAGAGAGGUGAUUGGUCUCGUCCUUCAAACAAAAAUGUGUUUCUCGCUGUUCAAAUAGCCCAUACAACCCAAGGCAAGAUGUUGAGAGCGAUUCCUGAGGGAGGGAGACAGAUUACAUUCCUAAAUAUAUUUCUUGAAGUCACCAG